rnacentral:misc_RNA from 1 species
AACGCACAUUGCGCCCUUUGGUAUUCCGAGGGGCAUGUCUGUUCGAGCGUCAUUUCAACCCUCAAGCUUCUGCUUGGUAUUGGGCUUCAUCUUUUCUUAAGAUGUGCCUAAAACUCAUAGGCGGUUGCACUUAGCUCCCUUGCGUAGUUAUUUUUUUUCUCGCUUGGAAAUUUAGGUGUAACCCGCCUGAGAACCCCCCCCAUAUAUCUCAAGGUUUGACCUCGGAUCAGAUAGGGAUACCCGCUGAACUUAA